AGGGUUCGAUUCUGGCUCAGGAUGAACGCUAGCUACAGGCUUAACACAUGCAAGUCGAGGGGCAGCAUGAUUGAAGCUUGCUUCAAUUGAUGGCGACCGGCGCACGGGUGAGUAACACGUAUCCAACCUUCCGUACACUCAGGGAUAGCCUUUCGAAAGAAAGAUUAAUACCUGAUGGUAUCUUAAGCACACAUGUAAUUAAGAUUAAAGAUUUAUCGGUGUACGAUGGGGAUGCGUUCCAUUAGGUAGUAGGCGGGGUAACGGCCCACCUAGCCUACGAUGGAUAGGGGUUCUGAGAGGAAGGUCCCCCACAUUGGAACUGAGACACGGUCCAA
rnacentral:rRNA from 1 species